CAAGCCCACAGUUCAACCAUAAGGGAGAAAUCUGCCUCUUUUAAACUAUAAGUUUCCCCACGUAGAUGAAAAUUAUUUUCAAAAUUAGUAAUUUUUAUUUUAAAUUCGAUGAUCAAUACUGGAGGACAUUUAUUGGAACUAAAAAUAUUUCAUUCAAAAUUGAAACUUCAAUAGUCUGGAUAUAAAAUCGAGAGAUAUGUUAUCUACCUUUUGAUAUCUGAUUUUUUAUUUCUAGUAGAGAAAUCAACUAUUGGUGAUUGGGCUAUUAAGAUUGAAAAAAAUCACAAUUUGUUCCAGUAAUUAACGGUUCACCUUUUCAACUAAGGCUGAUUUGCUAGGAAUUGCUUCGUUAAUUAACAUUCUUUCAAUACUAGUUUUGGUUUCAUUUUACGGCAGUUUGUUUAACCUUCAGUCGUGCAGCACCCAAAUAGAAACCCUACUCAUUCCACCAGAAGGGCUGAAUCUUGAAUAAUUUUUAAAGUUUUAACUAUCUGCCUUACUUAUAAUGAUUCUACUGCUGCGAUAUAAUAGAAGAGAAGAAACAAACCAAAGUCGUUCUUUAUAAAAUUUUUUGCUUGCUAAAAAUACGACUAGCGAGAUAAAAAAAUAAAUUGAAAGGGGUAUAUUUUUAGGAGAGAUUUAUUUUUGGGAAAUUUUUUUCUUCUUUU